rnacentral:hammerhead_ribozyme from 1 species
GUCCAGCCGACGAGUCCCGAAUAGGACGAAACGUGAGUCCUGGAU